rnacentral:rRNA from 1 species
AUUGAACGCUCGCGGCAGGCGUAACAAAUGCAAGUCGAGCGAGCGGCGGACGGGUGAGUAAUGUCUGGGAAACUGCCUGAUGGAGGGGGAUAACUACUGGAAACGGUAGCUAAUACCGCAUACAAUCAGAUGUGCCCAGAUGGGAGUAGUUAGGAGGUGGGGGAAUGGCUCACCUAGGCGACGCGCCCUAGCUGGUCUGAGAGGAUGACCACCCACACUGGAAUGGUGACACGGUCCAGACUCCUACGGGAGGCAGCAGUGGGGAAGAUUGCACAAUUGGAGCAAGCCUGAUGCAGCCAUGCCGCGUGUGUGAAGAAGGCCUUCGGGUUGUAAAGCACUUUCAGCGAGGAGGCGUUACUCGCAGAAGAAGCACCGGCUAACUCCGUGCCAGCAGCCGCGGUAAUUC